ensembl:lncRNA
GGUGGCGGUAAUGCAACAUUUAUUGGAUGCCAACCGCCGUUAAACCGUUAAAUCGAAGAAGAAGAUGCGCGCUUGCUGCAUAACUAUGUGAACGUCACCAGCUCGCGGUCUCUACACAGUCCACGGUGGUGAGUUGGUUAGGCCUACUGAACAGCACAAACUGGCCCUAACCAGAACAGAAAGAGGAGUUGGAGGCCCCGGUGCACAAAAAAACCCAGCCGCUUCCAGGCAACAGUGGAUAUCCCCUCAAGCGGUGGCUGCUCACCCCUUUCACCAAUCCACAGAGAACAGAGGAGAGGAACUGCAAUGUGCGCCAUUGCCAGAUAUGUUGUGGAGCGCACCACCAGGCUUCUGAAGGGCAGAUGACGCUGAUUCCUCAGGCGGGAAACCUUUUAUGCAAGCCUGAAAAGGUCUGCGACAUCGUGAGCUGUGCUACAUAAUGUGGUACAGCUAAGGAAUGUGGCCCCUGACGCUGUUGGUUGUGUUGGCCCCAAUCCCGACCCCUAUCCCCAGGCAUUUGAACCAAACGCAGCUGCUGUGUGCCAGCAUGUGAAUGUGAUGCGUCGCUUGUAAGAACACAAGGACUGCAUCUGUGAGGACACAGCCGCUGGAGAGUUGUGACGCACGAGGUGUAGUGGAGACGGCUGGGCGCAAAAGGAGAUGAUUGUGGACUACAGGAAGAAAAGUACAGAGCACGCCCCCAUUCUCAUCGACGGGGCUGUAGUGGAGCAGGUUGAGAGCUUCAAAUUCCUUGGUGUCCACAUCACCAACAAACUAGAAUGGUCCAAACACACCAAGACAGUCGUGAAGAGGGCACGAUAAAACCUAUUCCCCCUCAGGAGACUGAAAAGAUUUGGCAGGGGUCCUCAUAUCCUCAAAAGGUUCUACAGCUGCAACAUCACUGCUUGGUACGGCAACUGCUCGGCCUCCGACCGCAAGGCACUGCAGAGGGUAGUGCGUACCUCCCAGUACAUCACUGGGGCUAAGCUGCCUGCCAUCCAGGACCUCUAUACCAGGCAGUGUCAGAGGAAGGCCCUGAAAAUUGUCAAAGACCCCAGCCACCCCAGACAAAGACUGUUCUCUCUGCUACCGCAUGGCAAGCGGUACCGGAGCGCCAAGUCUAGGUCCAAGAGGCUUCUAAACAGUUUUUACCCCCAAGCCAUAACACUCCUGAACAGGUAACCAAUGGUUACCUGGACUAUUUGCAUUGUGUCCCGCCACUCCCCCGCCAACCCCUCUUUUAGUCUGCUGCUAUUCUCUAGAUAUCAUCUAUGUAUAGUCACUUUAACUAUACAUUCACAUACAUAUUAACUCAACUAGCCCGACUAACCGGUGCCCCCGCACUUUGGCUACCUGGACUAUUUGCAUUGUGUGUCCCCCCUCCACCCCUCUUUUACACUGCUGCUACUCUCUCUACUCUUUAACUAUACAUUCAUGUGCAUAUUUUCUCCAUUAGCCGGACUAACCAGUGCCCUCACACAUUGACUCUGUACCAGUACCACCUGUAUAAAAGCUUUGUUACUGUUAUUUUCUGUGUUUUCUUUCUUUACUUAUCUAUUGUUUACCUAAAACCUAUGUUUUACUUAAAAAUCGCAACGUUGGUUAGGGCUUGUAAGUAAGCAUUCCAGUGUAAGGUCUACACCUGUUGUAUUCGGGGGCACAUGACAAAUCAACUUUGAUUUGUUAUCAGCUCAGCUGCAGCACCACCGACCCCUGCUGAAACAAUCAGCUCCUGCUGGAACACUCAGCUCCUGCUCCACUGUAGCACCACCGACACCUGCUGGAACACUCAGCUCCUGCGCCACUGCAGCACCACCGACCCCUGCUGGAACACUCAGCUCCUGCUCCACUGCAGCACCACCGACCCCUGCUGGAACACUCAGCUCCUGUUCCACUGCAGCACCACCGACCCCUGCUGGAACACUCAGCUCCUGCUCCACUGCAGCACCACCAAACCCUGCUGGAACACUCAGCUCCUGCUCCGCUUCAGCACCACCA